rnacentral:rRNA from 1 species
CGUAGCCGCGGUAAUACAGAGGGUGCGAGCGUUAAUCGGAUUUACUGGGCGUAAAGCGUGCGUAGGCGGCUUCUUAAGUCGGAUGUGAAAUCCCUGAGCUUAACUUAGGAAUUGCAUUCGAUACUGGGAAGCUAGAGUAUGGGAGAGGAUGGUAGAAUUCCAGGUGUAGCGGUGAAAUGCGUAGAGAUCUGGAGGAAUACCGAUGGCGAAGGCAGCCAUCUGGCCUAAUACUGACGCUGAGGUACGAAAGCAUGGGGAGCAAACAGGAUUAGAUACCCCGGUAGUCCCUGUCUCUUAUACA